rnacentral:rRNA from 1 species
UUGGAGGGCAAGUCUGGUGCCAGCAGCCGCGGUAAUUCCAGCUCCAAUAGCGUAUAUUAAAGUUGCUGCAGUUAAAAAGCUCGUAGUUGAAUUUCGGGACCAUCAUGUCGGUCGUGCCUCGGUACGUACUGGUAUUGUUGGUUUCUCCCUUCUGACGAACCAUGAUGUCAUUUAUUUGGUGUUGUGGGGAAUCAGGACUGUUACUUUGAAAAAAUUAGAGUGUUUAAAGCAGGCUCACGCUUGAAUACAUUAGCAUGGAAUAAUGAAAUAGGACGUUUGAUUCUAUUUUGUUGGUUUCUAGGAUCGACGUAAUGAUUAAUAGGGAUAGUUGGGGGCAUUAGUAUUCAAUUGUCAGAGGUGAAAUUCUUGGAUUUAUUGAAGACUAACUACUGCGAAAGCAUUUGCCAAGGAUGUUUUCAUUAAUCAAGAACGAAAGUUAGGGGAUCGAAGACGAUCAGAUACCGUCGUAGUCUUAACCAUAAACUAUGCCGACUAGGGAUCGGAUGAUGUUAAUUUUUUAAUGACUCAUUCGGC